GGUUUUAUGGCCAAGGGGUCUAAGGUGCUGGAUUAAGACUCCAUCUUUUUUUGGAGGCAUGGGUUCAAAUCCCACUGCUGCCA
rnacentral:tRNA from 1 species